CUUGGUCAUUUAGAGGAGUAAAAGUCGUAACAAGGUCUCCGUAGGUGAACCUGCGGAGGGAUCAUACAGAGAAACUCGCCCGCAAGGGUGACUCUCCAACCCUAUGUUAAUUAUCAUUUGUUGCUUUGGCGAGCCGCUUCGGCCACCGGCUCACGCUGGUGAGGCUCGCCAGAGAACCCUAAACUCUGUUUAAUAAUGUCGUCUGAGUACUAAUAAUAGUUAAAACUUUCAACAACGGAUCUCUUGGUUCUGGCAUCGAUGAGAACGCAGCGAAAUGCGAUAAGUAAUGUGAAUUGCAGAAUUCAGUGAACAUCGAAUCUUUGAACGCACAUUGCGCCCUGUGGUACUCCGCAGGGCAUCCUGUUCGAGCGUCAGUACAACACUCAAGCCUAGCUUGGUCUUGGGCCUGCCGGAAACGGCGGGACCUUAAAAUCAGUGGCGGCGCCUGUUAGGCCCUAGCGUAGUAAUACUCCUCGCUACAGGGACCCGGCAGACGCUGGCCAGCACCCCCAACUUUCUAAGUUUGACCUCGGAUCAGGUAGGGAUACCCGCUGACUUAAGCAUAUCAAUAAGCGGAGGAA
rnacentral:rRNA from 1 species